rnacentral:rRNA from 1 species
AGGUUUCUCGUGGGAAACCUAAGUUCCGUAGGUGAACCUGCGGAAGGAUCAUUACCGAGAUUAGGGUUCUUUUAGAGCCUGACCCUCCUACCCUUUGUUUAUGUAUACCUCUGUUGCUUCGGCGGCUCCCCCGUGGCACACGGCGAUGCUAGACAUGUCGAGUCCCGGCCCGCCAGAAGCCCUCUCCAAAUCUAUUUAUUAUCAGCUGUCUGAGCAUACUUGCAAAAUAAAUCAAAACUUUCAACAACGGAUCUCUUGGUUCUGGCAUCGAUGAAGAACGCAGCGAAAUGCGAUAAGUAAUGUGAAUUGCAGAAUUCAGUGAAUCAUCGAAUCUUUGAACACACAUUGCGCCCUCUGGUAUUCCGGGGGGCAUGCCUGUUCGAGCGUCAUUACACCUCUCAAGCUCAGCUUGGUAUUGGGCUGUCGUCCCUGUGGACGGGCCUGAAAAUCAAUGGCGGUGCACCCGGUGCUCAAGCGUAAUACAUAAAUAUCCCGCUUUGGAGUGAGCGGGUGGACCCGCCAGAUAACCCCUUGUAUAUUUCAAUGGUUGACCUCGGAUCAGGUAGGGAUACCCGCUGAACUUAAGCAUAUCAAUAAGCGGAGGAAAAGAAACCAACAGGGAUUGCCUCAGUAACGGCGAGUGAAGCGGCAACAGCUCAAAUUUGAAAUCUGGCUUUCGGGCCCGAGUUGUAAUUUGUAGAGGGAGUUUCGGAAGCGGCGUCGGCCUAAGUUCCUUGGAACAGGGCGUCAUAGAGGGUGAGAAUCCCGUAUGUGGCCGGCGGUCAAUUCCGUGUGAAACCCCUUCGACGAGUCGAGUUGUUUGGGAAUGCAGCUCAAAAUGGGUGGUAAAUUUCAUCUAAAGCUAAAUACCGGCCAGAGACCGAUAGCGCACAAGUAGAGUGAUCGAAAGAUGAAAAGCACUUUGGAAAGAGAGUUAAAAAGUACGUGAAAUUGUUGAAAGGGAAGCGCUUGCAAUCAGACUUGCUCGCGGGUGAUCAACCCCCCUUCGCGGAGGGUGCACUCGCCCGCGAUCAGGCCAGCAUCGGUUUCGACGGGCGGAUAAAGGCUCCAGGAAUGUAGCUCCCCUCGGGGAGUGUUAUAGCCUGGGGUGCCAUGCGCCCCGCCGGGACCGAGGACCGCGCUUUGGCUAGGAUGCUGGCGUAAUGGUUGUAAGCGACC